GGACACUGCACGUUGCAUCGCUGCGCUCGCGAACUCGCGCUGUGCCACGCGACGCGCCGCCUGAGUGCAGGCUGCACACAUGACUGUUCAUACUUGUGCGAUUUUCAUUCAUCCUUCUGCGGUUUUUCGGCCUUUCGCACGCACCCGGCCCUCUAAGGUCGUUCGUACCUAUCCUUAAUGAUCCUGGUUCUUCUGACACGAGUCCCGAACGAAGUUUAUUGAGCUGAAAAGGUCUCGAAUGCGUGCGGCGCAAAACGGAGCGACAUUAGAACUUUUAUCUAAAAUUAAAUCUUUGAUAGAAAAUAGUCGGGACAUUCUUUAGUGCGUAAGCGUGUGCUUCAAAUUCGUCGUUUAGAAUCGUUUUCCAUAUUUAAAGUGCCUAUCGAGGUUCGUUGUAGUUUUUAAUCGUUAAAUUGGUGUUAGUUAAAGUUAAAGAUACUUGUGGAUUCAUUGUGUAGUUUGUGUGUGAACUGAUCGAGAUUUGACUGUAUUGUGGACCGGCGGGAAAUUCUGGAAGUGUCUACAAAUCGCCGCAUUGAUUCACCUGGCAUGCUAUAAAGUAAUCCAUCCAGCUUAGUCCAAGAGAUUUUGGGUUUGAAUCACCAACAGCGUGUGUAAGAACAUCAUCGGUAUCAAGUAAUGUUUCCAUGAGCCCUUAGCAAUCCGACUCUACUCCUCCGUUUU